rnacentral:rRNA from 1 species
UUUCGAAGAGUUUACUUGGAGAAAUUUUUAGUGGCGGACGGGUGAGUAACGCGUGGGUAACCUACCCAUAAAACCGGGACAACCCUUGGAAACGAGGGCUAAUACCGAAUAAUCUUUUGAUGCGGCAUCGUAUUAAAAGGAAAGGUGGCCUCUGUAUAUGCUACCGAUUAUGGAUGGACCCGCGUCUGAUUAGCUAGUUGGUGGGGUAAAGGCCUACCAAGGCGACGAUCAGUAGCCGGCCUGAGAGGGUGAACGGCCACACUGGGACUGAGACACGGCCCAGACUCCUACGGGAGGCAGCAGUGGGGAGUCUUCCGCAAUGGACGAAAGUCUGACGGAGCAACGCCGCGUGUAUGAUGAAGGUCUUCGGAUUGUAAAGUACUGUCUUUGGGGAAGAACGAUGUAUUUGAAAAUAUUGAGUACAUAUGACGGUACCCAAGGAGGAAGCCCCGGCUAACUACGUGCCAGCAGCCGCGGUAAUACGUAGGGGGCAAGCGUUGUCCGGAAUUAUUGGGCGUAAAGGGCGCGUAGGCGGAUAGUUAAGUCCGGUGUGAAAGAUCAGGGCUCAACCCUGAGAGUGCAUCGGAAACUGGUUAUCUUGAGGACAGGAGAGGAAAGUGGAAUUCCACGUGUAGCGGUGAAAUGCGUAGAUAUGUGGAGGAACACCAGUGGCGAAGGCGACUUUCUGGACUGUAACUGACGCUGAGGCGCGAAAGCGUGGGGAGCAAACAGGAUUAGAUACCCUGGUAGUCCACGCUGUAAACGAUGAGUGCUAGGUGUAGGAGGUAUCGACCCCCCCUGUGCCGCAGUUAACACAAUAAGCACUC